CUCAGAUCAGGCUGAAAGGGCAUGUUUACACUUGAGGGUGGAUCAAUGCUGCAGUGAUCGAUUCACUGGUGAUCGAUUCCAUCAGGACAAGAGUGGUCAGAAUGAACGAGAGAGCAGCCCCCGUGAUCUUAUUGUGUGGAAAACACCAUGAUUCACAGGGCCACCGGGCAAAAGGGACACCAACAGGACCGUGACUGGACCAGGAACAGGAGAAGAUGUUGAUCAAGAAUUCCAUGGACUAGCCCAUGAGGAUCAUGAACAACCAGGAAAGGGAUCAGGACCACACUCAAGAACAAACCCAUUGAAGUCAAGCUCCUAAAAGCAUCAAAGCAGUGGAAUUUUCUAACGCACCCACAAGAAUAGGGCUCUGACUCUGCAAGAAGGUACUUACACACGUGCCUAACCUUAAGUGUGUGAAUAGUCCUACUGACUUCAUGUGACGUAAGAGCUGAUGUACCUUGCUGCACUGGAACCUCAGGGCGUGUGUUCCAGUGAUUCUCGGUGAGACUUUUACUGCCAGAGGCUUUUGGAAAAACAGGGUGCUCACUCAGUCCUUUUGAAAUCAAGCUGCUAGGCUACAUUUCUGAUACAGUUGCUACAGUGAUGUGAUGCACAAAAAUCUAACUCUCUUCAGAAGCCUUGACUACCCAGCCGUGUGGCUUCCCAGCCAGAGUACAUCUCCUGUGAAAGCAUUCCUGAUAGAAUGACACCCAAGAACGCGUUCUCUGCAGCUAUCCAUUUUCUUCACAAAAAAGCUAACAAAGCAAAUCUCUGCUUUAACUGCCUUAAAAUCAUCAUUUCUGAAAUACACAACAAGGGCAGGAGAUUUCCAGAAGUGUUUUUUGAAACCUUAGGACAUCACUAAUAUACAAAGUGUUGGUCUUUCAAAUGGCUAGACACGAACAAAGGACAAUAAUUUUACACAUACAGGAACUUUUCAUCUAAAAGAAUCAUAAAAUACUGUGCAAACUUUACCCACAUGAGUGCAGCUACUUUCUAAGG